rnacentral:lncRNA from 1 species
AUGUGCGGGCCCCCAGGAGCCCCUGUGCUCAGAGGCUGGGCGCACGGUUCCCAGAUGUCACUGAUGUCCCUGUGCUCACGGGAGCCCGCCCACGGCCAUGCACAGCUGUGGUCCAGGCACUGGAGACAACCAGGGGCGGGCGCAAGUCCCAGAGCCCGUGCCCAGCCUACGCUUGUACCACCACGGACAGCGGCUGUGAAGCCCCGGGCCGGAGAAGCGCCAGGCUCCCGUCUCACGCAGAAACCCGGCUCGUGGCCUCAGUGGUCUCUGCAGGCAAUGGGCGGUAGGAGACUCCGCCUCUGCCCCUCUGCAGCGCCCCGCCUCCCCUUCCCGACCGGCCCCGCCCCCGGGUCGCGUGACGCGCAGGGGUUCUCCCGUUCCCCUGCCGUGAUGUCACCGCGGCGAGCGGGCCAAUGGGCGCGCAGACCGGCGGCGCCUGGGAAUUCCGCCGCCCCGCCCCCAGCCCCGCCUGACAACCCGGCCCGGCGCCCCAAGCAGUCCCGGGCGCCGCGCGUCCUGUCCCGCCUGCGGCCCCAGCCCCUGCGCCGCUCGUCCGGGCCGCGAUCCUCCGCGGGACAGCUCGCGUGCGCGCUUGGGUCUGGGCCGGCCUCCGAGCCGCGCGUCCCUGCUGGCUGGGCCAUGUCGAGUAGCCAGGUCGCCAGACAGCCCGCUGCGCGGGAGCUGGGGCCCUGGGGUCUGCUGAUCUCUCCUCACUCGCUCUCAUGGUCUCCAGGACACAGGCCUCAGUGUUCCUCAUCUGCAGGAUGGGCAUGAUUGAGAACGCAGGGACCUGAGUAACUGUUCAAAGCAGUGUCCUGCGCACAGAGAGCCUCAGCGACCGUGAAGUGUUAUUGGCACAGUAAGUGAUUGCUAGUCUAAAACAGCUAUUUUUCUUAAGAGUUAAGUUUGUUUUCUUAUUUGAAAAGCCAAGAGAUAGAGCUCUUCCAUGCGCUCAUUCAGUCUCCAAAUGUUCAUGACAGCCAGGGCUGGGCUGGGUCAAACCUGCUUGGAGCUUCCACGUGGGUGGCAGAGACUCAGGGACUUGGGCCAUCCACUACUGCUUUCCCAGGCCACAGCAGAGAGCUGCAUCAGAAGUGGAGCAGCCAGGACUCGAAACGGUGCCCAUAUGGGAUGCCGGCACUGCAGGUGGUGGCUUCAUCUGCUGUGCCACAGCGCCAGCCCCACAAGUUUACAGUUUUAGCAAGUUUUCAAGAGGAGCUGAGAGCUGCUAGUCUGUGAGUUCCCUCAGCCUGUGCCGUCCAAGGCUGCCCAGGGAAAUGCAGAACCUUGGCCGGAUCGUGACGUCCUGUCUCAUAAAUUCGCUGGGCCUCAGAGGGCAGCGGGGGCCCUGUCGUCACGAGUGGCCAGUGGCCCCACGUGGAUGGGUCCCGGCUGGACUCAGAGUGCUGACUCUGUGAGCUGAUGUCUUAUCUUUUGAAAGGCAGAGCAAUAGGGGGAGAGAGAAAGAGAAAGGGAGAGAGGGAGGGAGAGAGAGAGGGGGAGAGAGAGGGAGAGACAGACAGGGAGAGGGGGAGAGAGAGAGACAGAGACAGGGAGAGGGAGAGAGAGAUAGAGAGGUAGAGGGAGAGACAGAAAGAGGGAGGAGAGAGAGAGACAGCCAGAGAGAGGGAGAGGGAGAGACAGAGAGAGGGAGAGAGACAGAGAGAGGCAAAGAGACAGAGAGAGGGAGUGGGAGAGGGAGAUGGAGAAGGAGAGGGAGAUAGUGAGAGGUCUUCCAUCCACUUCCCAAAUGGCUGCAACAGCCAGGGCUGGGCCAGGCCAAAGCCCAGAGCCAGGAGCUCCAUCUUGGUCUCCCAUGUGGGUGCUUGGGCCGUCUUCCACUGCCUUCCCAGGUGUUUUCACAGGGAGCUGGAUCAGAGUGGAGUGGCUGGGACUCCACCAGUACCGGGAUAUAGGGUGCUGUGCACCGGCCGUGGCUGAAGACGCUGGGCCAUGGGGCCAGCUCCUAGCGAUGCAGCCCGGAACCUUCUGCAGGGCCUUGGGUUUCCAGGUUCCCCCAGCACAGGUGCCCAGGAAGGAUUUUCUAGGUCGAAGUGACCUGACCUGGACCGUGCCAGUGACCUCACGCAAGCCCAGCCUCAGGUUCCCCAAAUGCCGGAGGGGGCUUGGCACCCCUCCUGACUGCACCGAUGGCCCAAGAUAAGGGUGCAGGGAAGCUGCCUCCCCCAGAGCAAAGGUCCGGCUGCCAGGAGCCACACCCCGGGCGCAGGCAGGCUGGGGAAGGUGUGUUUUAGUCUUCCUCUUCUCCUCCUCCCUCUCCUCCUCCCCUCCUCCUCUUCCCCCUGCAGUACAUUCAAUAAUUUGAAGCACAGUCAAUAAUUAAUAAAACAUAUUUCUGGCUAUUGCA